GGUUGGGUCAUUCAUCAUAAGAUUCAAAUCAAUUCAGAAGUCUCAGCGAAGUAGAUCGAAUCAUAAUUCAGUAAAUCUAGACCCGACCUAAAAUAGAAUGGGUCUAAUCUGAGAUCCUAAUCUGGCUCCAUAGAUCCUUUAAAUUGUUUCUAACUGGAUCUCAUCGGGAUCCUUUAAAAUAUUUCUAACUGGAUCUCAUCGGGUCAUGGGUUAACCUGAUCUAUUUGCAGCCUUACUUAGA
rnacentral:lncRNA from 1 species